UACGGGGGGAGCAAGCGUUGUUCGGAUUUACUGGGCGUAAAGGGCGCGUAGGCGGUCGUGACAAGUCACUUGUGAAAUCUCCGGGCUUAACUCGGAACGGUCAAGUGAUACUGUCGGACUAGAGUACAGAAGGGGCAACUGGAAUUCUCGGUGUAGCGGUGAAAUGCGUAGAUAUGCGGAGGAACACCGAUGGCGAAGGCAAUCCCCUGGGCCUGCACUGACGCUCAUGCACGAAAGCGUGGGAG
rnacentral:rRNA from 1 species